AUUGAACGCUGGCGGCAGGCCUAACACAUGUAAGUCGAACGAGUGGCGGACGGGUGAGUAAUGUCUGGGAAACUGCCUGAUGGAGGGGGAUAACUACUGGAAACGGUAGCUAAUACCGCAUACCAUCGGAUGUGCCCAGAUGGGAUUAGCUAGUAGGUGGGGUAAAGGCUCACCUAGGCGACGAUCCCUAGCUGGUCUGAGAGGAUGACCAGGCACACUGGAACUGGGCAACGGUCCAUAAUCGUACGGGAGGAAGCAGUGGGGAAUAUUGCAGACUGGGCGCAAGCCUGAUUCAGCCAUGCCGCGUGGAUGAAGAAGGCCUUCGGGUUGUAAAGUACUUUCAGCGGGGAGGCGUUACCCGCAGAAGAAGAACCGGCUAACUCCGUGCCAGCAGCCGCGGUAAUAC
rnacentral:rRNA from 1 species